GGCACCUACUUAUUGAUGUUUGCUGGUUCUGCUGCAAUGGUGGUGAACAAGAACAUGAAUCUUCUAGGAAUAGCAGUUUUGUGGGGUUUGGAUGUGAUGGUUAUGAUUUACACUGUUGGGCAAGUUUCUGGUGCCCAUUUUAACCCUGCUGUUACCAUUGUUUUUGCUACAUGUAAGAGGAUUGCAUGGAGACAUUAAAUUUCUCCAUUCUCAGUUACCCAAAAUACAACAGGCAUGAGCAAGAAAGGACUAACAACAUCCAAAAAUAUUUAAGGACGUUUCUGGUCAUUGUUUUAGCUACUCUAUUUUCAGGUGCCAGCAUAUGUAUCAGCACAAGUCGCGGGUGCAACUCUAGCAACUGGCACUGUGAGAUUAAUGUUCAAGGAAGAGCAACCUCAGUUUCUGGGAACAAUUCCAGCUGGCUCAGAUUUGCAGUCUCUUGGAUUAGAAUUCUUGAUCACUUUCUAUCUCAUGUUGGAGAACUCACUGGACUUGUCAUUGGAGCUUAGUCAUAAUUAACUCCCUUGCUGGGCCUAUUUCAGGGGCAUCAACGAAUCCUGCACAAAGUCUGGGACCAGCAAUUUUAUCAAAUUGUUACAAGAAACGAUGGAUAUACAUGUUGGGUCCUACAGCAGGAGCUAUAGCUGGUACCUGGUUCUAUAACGCCAUGAGGUUUGUUAAGCCCUACAAUGAGGUGACUAAGUUUUUUCCUUUCCUCCGAAGAUUAGCCCAAAAUGAUGUUUAAAUGACGAAUACUAUUGUCCCGGUCUGAUUGAAUUAACCACUUCUCAGACCCAUGUUUAAGUCUUUCCG